rnacentral:rRNA from 1 species
UCGGAAUUACUGGGCGUAAAGGGCUCGUAGGCGGCCAUCUAAGUCGGACGUGAAAUCCCUCGGCUUAACCGGGGAACUGCGUCCGAUACUGGAGGGCUUGAGUGUGGGAGAGGGAUGCGGAAUUCCAGGUGUAGCGGUGAAAUGCGUAGAUAUCUGGAGGAACACCGGUGGCGAAGGCGGCAUCCUGGACCAUGACUGACGCUGAGGAGCGAAAGCCAGGGGAGCAAACGGG